rnacentral:ncRNA from 2 species
AAAAACCGCUAGGGGAGCAAUGCUGAGAGUGUACGCCGUGUGCGUCUUACCCUUAUUACCUGACUCGGAUAAUGCCGUCGUAGGGAAGCUGAUGAGCUUGAAU